rnacentral:rRNA from 1 species
UGGGGAAUAUUGCACAAUGGGGGAAACCCUGAUGCAGCGACGCCGCGUGAGCGAAGAAGGCUUUCGAGUCGUAAAGCUCUGUCCUAUGAGAAGAUAAUGACGGUAUCAUAGGAGGAAGCCCUGGCUAAAUACGUGCCAGCAGCCGCGGUAAUACGUAUGGGGCGCGUUGUCCGGAAUUAUUGGGCGUAAAGGGUACGUAGGCGGUUUUUUAAGUUAGGUGUCAAAGCGUGGAGCUUAACUCCAUUAAGCACUUGAAACUGAAAGACUUGAGUGAAGGAGAGGAAAGUGGAAUUCCUAGUGUAGCGGUGAAAUGCGUAGAUAUUAGGAGGGAUACCGGUGGCGAAGGCGACUUUCUGGACUUUUACUGACGCUCAGGUACGAAAGCGUGGGGAGCAAACAGG